rnacentral:ncRNA from 1 species
ACCCCCGUGAAAAUGCCCUACCAGUUCCCUGCCCGGGAAUAAGGAGCUGGUAUCAGGCACAUCUUAUAUAGCCCCCGACACCUUGCUUAGCCACACCCCCAAGGGAAUUCAGCAGUGAUAAAUAUUAAGCCAUAAGUGAAAACUUGACUUAGUUAAAGCUUAGAGGGCCGGUAAAACUCGUGCCAGCCACCGCGGUUAUACGAGAGACCCUAGUUGAUAGACUCCGGCGUAAAGCGUGGUUAAGAUUCAAUUAAACUAAAGCCGAAUACCCUCAAAGCUGUUAUACGCACCCGAAGGAAAGAAGCCCAAUAACGAAAGUGGCUUUACUAACCCUGACCCCACGAAAGCUAAGAAACAAACUGGGAUUAGAUACCCCACUAUGCCUAGCCCUAAACAUUUAUAGCCCUCCCCACACUACCUAUCCGCCCGGGUACUACGAGCACUAGCUUAAAACCCAAAGGACUUGGCGGUGCUUUAGAUCCACCUAGAGGAGCCUGUCCUAGAACCGAUAACCCCCGUUUAACCUCACCUUUCCUUGUCCCCAUCCGCCUAUAUACCGCCGUCGUCAGCUUACCCUGUGAAGGCCUCAUAGUAAGCAAAAUUGUUAUAGCCCAAAACGUCAGGUCGAGGUGUAGCGAAUGGAAGGGGAAGAGAUGGGCUACAUUCCCUAUUUUAGGGAACAACGAAUAAUGCAUUGAAAUAUUCAUAUGAAGGAGGAUUUAGUAGUAAGCAGAAAAUAGAGUGUUCUGCUGAAUUUGGCCCUGAAGCGCGCACACACCGCCCGUCACUCUCCCCAAACCCAAAAAAUCAUCCGUACCUAAAACACCAUAAAAACUUAAGGGGAGGCAAGUCGUAACAUGGUAAGUGUACCGGAAGGUGUACUUGGCAAAACUU